rnacentral:lncRNA from 1 species
UAACAUACUACAAUCACUCAUGAGCUCUUGGAAAGCUUCAUAUAAUUCUUCUAAAGUAAAAUCUGUAGUUGAGUUUUGACAUACCUCAUCGUCUUCGAAUGCCAUGAAACACAAGUUGGCGGUCUCUUCCUUCUCUUCCUCGGAGGAGGAUGUGUCACUAUCAUCCCAAGUUGCUUUCAACGCCUUCUUCUUCUUCUUUCCAUAGUGCUUCUUCUGUUGAGGGCAUU